rnacentral:rRNA from 1 species
GACAGAGGGUGCAAACGUUGUUCGGAUUUACUGGGCGUAAAGCGCGUGUAGGCGGCUUUGCAAGUCGGAUGUGAAAGCCCACGGCUCAACCGUGGAAGUGCAUCCGAAACUGCAUGGCUUGAGUCUCGGAGAGGAAGGUGGAAUGCUUGGUGUAGAGGUGAAAUUCGUAGAGAUGUGGAGGAACACCGAUGGCGAAGGCAGCCCCCUGGGCUAACACUGACGCUCAUGCACGAAAGCGUGGGGAGCAAACAGG